AUUGAACGCUGGCGGCAGGCCUAACACAUGCAAGUCGAGCGAGCGGCGGACGGGUGAGUAAUGUAUGGGGACUGCCUGACCGAGGGGGGUAACUACUGGAUAGGGAGGCUAAUACCGCAUACUGUCGGUUAACCCAUCUGGGAUUAGCUAGUAGGUAAGGUAAUGGCUUACCAAGGCGACGAUCCCUAGCUGGUCUGAGAGGAGGAUCAGCCACACUGGAACGGAGACACGGCCCAGACUCCUACGGAGGCAGCAGUGGGGAAUAUUGCACAAUGGGCGCAAGCCUGAUGCAGCCAUGCCGCGUGUAUGAAGAAGGCCCUAGGGUUGUAAAGUACUUUCAGUCGGGAGGCGUUACCGACAGAAGAAGCACCGGCUAACUCCGUGCCAGCAGCCGCGGUAAUUC
rnacentral:rRNA from 1 species